rnacentral:lncRNA from 1 species
UCAUUGUUCUGUAAGUGCUGAAGACUUCUGACUCAGGCCUUCUUUAGCGUCUGAUGGCUUGAACUCGCCUGCUCCAAGUGGGUCACAAUCCACUUUUGAAAUGGAAAUGAAGUCUGCAUGGCAGCCUCACCCUCAGAGCCCUGGGACCCAGGCCCAGCCAGGGCACCGCAGAGCCUGGUGUUAUAAAUUUCUGCGUAGAUCUGAGAGCAGUUUUAGGCCAUUGAUCUCAUGUCACCCAGAAUCGAGAUGGAGUGACGGCUGAUAAACUGCAUGGUGACAGGCUGCGGCCUUGGAAGAAAAAAGUCUAGAUGUGGGAUAAAAGAAAAAAAAAGCUGAUGGAUUCGUUAUCGGCCUCCCAAUUCUUCUCAUCCUGGAUUAUUUCCGAACACUUUAGAAGCAUUUAUUUUCAGCCCCCAACAGGAGGAAACCCAGCCUGGGGUCAAGGCCUAGAGGAUCCACAGAGACUUGCAAAUGGGCUACAAGGUAGGGGAGAUACACAGCUGUUAAACCUGGUAAUAUUAGCACAGAUGUCAAACUUGGUGACAUCUAUCUAUCUAUCUAUCUUUCAUCAUGUGUCUAUCUUAUUCUUGUUCUUACUACUUCCCAUUCUAACAGGUAGUCAGAUUCUUGGUAUUUUCUGGACUAUGAGGUUUUUUCCUGGGAAGAAAAUAGAAGCUGCUUGAAGAGCCAGAGAGGAAGCUGAGAAGGGGUAUGCUUCUGGGAGUCUGAAUGAGGGUGUGGUUGGAGCCUUCCCUCUGUUAGGAAAGUAGUAGGUGGCUGUGCCCUGGUGAGGGUGCCCGGCCUUGUAGAGAGUAGCAUGUCUAGGUAGCAUGCCUCUCUGGGUCUCUCAGCUUCAUCUGAAGGGACCAUAUGGUGUCCCAGUACACCCACUGUGACUCAUCAAUGGGCAUUGCUACAGAAACCCCUGGGACCUUUGCUCAAAUCUGGGGAGAGGGGCCCUCAUGCUGACUACAAUGAGUUUCUGACCAGCUCAGCAGCAUAGUGUUUUAGAGUCGAAUUUAAUGCAGAAUUUAAUGAAGACGAAUUAAUAAAAAUAAUUUUUCACACCUCUAUAUUUGUCA